UACGGGGGAGGCAAGCGUUGUUCGGAUUUACUGGGCGUAAAGGGCGCGUAGGCGGUCAGCACAAGUCAGACGUGAAAUCCCUCGGCUUAACCGGGGAACUGCGUCUGAUACUGGAUGGCUUGAGUUCGGGAGAGGGAUGCGGAAUUCCAGGUGUAGCGGUGAAAUGCGUAGAUAUCUGGAGGAACACCGGUGGCGAAGGCGGCAUCCUGGACCGACACUGACACUGAGGAGCGAAAGCCAGGGGAGCAAACGGG
rnacentral:rRNA from 1 species